AUUGAACGCUAGCGGGAUGCUUUACACAUGCAAGUCGAACGAGUGGCGGACGGGUGAGUAAUAUAUUGGACGUGCCCAGUAGCGGGGGAUAACUACUGGAAACGGUCGAUAAUACCGCAUACUAUCGGAUAACCCAUAGGGGAUUAGCUAGUAGGUGAGGUAAUGGCUCACCUAGGCUACGAUCCCUAGCUGGUCUGAGAGGAUGAUCAGCCAAACCGGGACUGAGAAAAGGCCCAGACUCCUACGGAGGCAGCAGUGGGGAAUAUUGCACAAUGGACGCAAGCCUGAUGCAGCGAUGCCGCGUGAAUGAAGAAGGCCCUAGGGUUGUAAAGUACUGUCAGUCGGGAGGCGUUACCGACAGAAGAAGCACCGGCUAACUCCGUGCCAGCAGCCGCGGUAAUAC
rnacentral:rRNA from 1 species